AUUGUUAGAAAAAGAAUCGGUGUUCAAUUGUUUUUCAAAGUGUGCCUUAAGUUGUAUAAAGGCGUUAGUAAAAGGAAAAAAAAAGGAGGCCAUAAAAACGGGCGUAACAAAUGGCGUAAAAAAUGGCAUAGCAAAUGGCGUAAAAAAUGGCAUAGCAAAUGGCGUAAAAAAUGACGUAAAAAAUGACGUAAAAAAUGACAUAAAAAAUGACGUAAAAAAUUAUAAUAAAUGUCAAAAACCAAUAGUGUUACAAAAUAAAAUAACACAAGAUAUACACAACGAUUGUCUACAUAAGGACCACGCACCAAAUAAUAUAUUUACCACUAAAGUAAAAGAACAGACAAAAAAUAAACUUUUAAAUAAAAAAAACGACCACCCCAAUUUUUAUCAUUUUAAAUAUCAAACAAAUGAAUGUCACAAAAACAAACAAGCAUUAGAUUACCACUGUAGAAUUUCAUUAAAUCUUAUAAAAAGCUAUUCUUAUACAUCCAGAAAAAAAUUACUAAAAAAUAAAAGCAUACAGUAUAAUACAUAUAAAAUCAUUAAGCGCGUUUUAUAUACUUUAAGUAAAGCUCCAUUUUAUUUAAAUCUAAAACUACCACUAUUCAAAUUAUUAUUAACAAGUGGUUUGUCACAUGGUGACCAUAUCCAGGAAAACACAAAAACUAAAGGUAUAAUAAAACCUAGUUCUAAUAGUUUUAUCUGUACAUACAACGUUAACACUACUAACCCUAGCAACAAUAACAUGCCCAAAAACUUGAAAAAAAAAUGUAAUAUACAGAAACUAUAUAAAAUAAAAAACAAAACACAUUCGACAUCAUUAAAAGGUGUAACAAAUGGAACACAUAGCAAUAGUAAUAUAACAAAAGGGACUAAAUUUUAUAAUAAUAUAAUUAACGCUAAUUUGAGUGUUACCCCUAAUCAAAGCCAAAGAAAAACCCCAAAUCUGUACAAAACUCAACUAUAUAGCCAAAAAAAAAAUUUACAAAAAAAAAAAAAAAAAAAAAAAUUCUAAGUAAAAAAGUUUGCAAAAUUUCACCCAUUCUUGUACGGAAUAAUAGAAGAAUCAGAACAAAAUCAAAACCAAAUAAAUAUAUUAGUUUGUAUACUGCA
rnacentral:lncRNA from 1 species